rnacentral:misc_RNA from 1 species
CCGAGUUUACAACUCCCAAACCCCUGUGAACAUACCACUUGUUGCCUCGGCGGAUCAGCCCACUCCCGGUAAAACGGGACGGCCCGCCAGAGGACCCCUAAACUCUGUUUCUAUAUGUAACUUCUGAGUAAAACCAUAAAUAAAUCA